ensembl:lncRNA
AAUAUAAUCAAAUCCUGUAUGUGUGCCUGACCGCAUGACAGACAAAGAAGAGAAGCACAGACAGUUUAAAUGAUCUGCCUAAAUUCACCAGCUAAUUAGCGGCAGAGCCAAGAUCUGAAGUCAGGCAGUCUGGCUGCAGGCCCCAACCAUGCUGAAAUGCCUCCAAAAGUCUAGGAAGAAAAUGUGGCGCACCCAGACCUUGAGGAUACUGCGGAAGUUUCCCCCUCCUGGCAAGCAGUCCCACACCACCAGGCUAGCGUUCUUUAGAAUGACAAUAAAUGCAGUAUUUAAAGAAAUGAGAUACAAGUGAAAUGCUACGGUUAGAAAUUCUUUGACUAACAAUCUGAGAGAAGGAACAUUUGAAGGUCAUAGAUUAAUUGUCCAUGGAUAACAUCAGUGGAAGUUUCAAAAUAGACAAAGGGCUCUUAUGCUUCAAACUCGAUGAAAAACUCUGUCUUUUCAAGGUGAAUCUAGUUCCUCUGCAUUUUGUGAAAACUUUUUGUGCUCCUAAAGUAAGUUUUCGUUCCUGAAAAUUUCUUAAAACUUCAAACUACUGGGGGGCCGGCCUGGUGGCACAGUGGUUAAGUUCAUAGUCUCCACUUCAGCUGCCCGGGGUUCACAGUUCAGAUGCCAGGCGUGGACGUAGCACCGCUCAUCAAGCCAUGCUGUGGCAGCAUCCCACAUAAAAUAGAGGACGAUUGGCACGGACGUUAGCUCAGCAAUAAUGUUCCUCAAACAAAAAGAGGAAGAUUGGCAACAGAUGUUAGCUCAGGGCCAAUCUUCCUCACACACACACACAUACACACACAAACACAUAAAAUUCAAACAACUGAAAAAGUAAAAUAGGGAGCAUUCAAAAGUGGAAAAACUUAACUUGAUGUGCAAACAUAGAAAAUGUCACCAUUAAUUAGCAAAAUAAAAAUCUUACCUUAGAAAAACAAACAUAUCCAUAUUACAAAAGAUAGUACACAAAUCUGAAGCUGCAUAUGAAAUGAUUCAUUCUGCUUACCUGUCUAAAAAAGGGUGCAUGUUUCAAAAUGUUACCUUAGAGACUGAUUUAAAAUGGCACAUCUGGCACUACACUGGACAACUGUAAUCCACACGAGCUAUUUAAAAGUAAUCAUAACACCCUUUAGAGAAUUUGACUUUGGAAAUUACGUUAUCCUCAAGUCUAUAUCAAUUAACUACUUUCUUUUGUCUGAAGGCUUUGGGAGGCCUGAAGUUUUACAAUCUGGGAGCCCCUCUUUCAAGAAAAAAGUAACAGACAUAGAAUUUUGUACAAAAGGGAACAUUUGUUUAGAAUUAGAAAGGAAAUCACAACACAUUACAGAUUCUAAAAAGCUGAAAAAUACAACAAAAACUUCACAAAAAUUGAGACAAAUAAUAUUUAUGUCUAUCUGAUAAUUACCAUAAUACAUGGUUUCCAAUAUUUUUUAGCUGCAUACUCUUACCACUUCUUAAAAUAUCAAUUAUUUGAAAUAUCAUUCCCUAUAGAGACAAGAAAGCUAACUUAGUCUUUUUUCUACCACGUCAACCUUCAAAAAGACUCAUUCAAGUGAGGGGACCCAAAGUUUAAGCUUCAGUAUUUUCAUCAUAACUUUACCUCUGCUUUGGACAUAUGUUGUCAAAUGGCUUUGAAAUAU